GGCCAGACCUGAACCCACGUCCUCCUGACUCCAUCCACUGGGUCACCUAGCCGCCCCCAUCUUCAUAUUUCCAAAUAGUUGGGGCAGUACAAAAACUGGCCCAGGCCAUAGUUUACUAAGCCCUGCCUAAGAGCUCCAAAAAACCAGAUGUGAAAGGAGGGGUGGGCUGGGGAACUCCUGCUCCCCACGGAUCCAUAGCGCUGGAAAAGUUCUUGGCAGAACAGAAGAGCCCGGAUUGGAGGGGAUGCUGGGGACACGGUGAUGGCACAGGGCCAGCAGAGAGUCAAAAUGAGCAAACAGAAGAGAGCAAGGGCUCCGCCUCCAGGCUUCCUCCCAAAUGCAUAGAACAGGAGCCGCGCCCACCCCAGCAGGCAAUGGUCCAGGCUCAAAGGAGAAAAGGCCGAGAAGAGAAGAAAAAGAAGAGAAAAAGGGAAGAGAAGAGAAAGAGCCAAGAAGAGAAGAGCUCCUGGGAGCAGCUCGGUUCCGCCUCAUCCCACAGGCCUGGCGGUGGGCGGGUCACCAACCUCCCUGACCCAGGGCCGCCCUGAGGCAGAGGAAGAACCCAGAGCCCAGCGGCACUUUCUGCCCCCAUGAAGCCCCAAAGGCAGGCCAGGUGCCAACCAGCCACAAGAACCGGGCCAGGACCGAGCUGGGAGAAAUAUUAGGAGGCUUCCCAGCCGGGACGCCGCAGAGUGGCCCCACUGCAGGGGCGGGAGACCCAUGUCUUUUGCUUCUAGGGUGAAAGCUCCCAUUGGAGUCACUGGGAUGCCAUUGCAACCCUGCAACCUUCCCAGCCUGAACCCCUGGACAUUGCCUACAGCCAAUACCUCUCUCUCCUGACAACAGACAGGGACAGCUCUACAACCAUUCUCCGCUCUGAAGAAGCUACAGAAAUCUGAGACCAUCACUUCUAUUCCCUUAGCUAUUUGGAGAGGGGGGAGAUGGCAUGGGCACUGCACCCCCAGAAACUCAGGCAGACUCUUAUGGGGGGGUUCCUUUUCUCCCUUACACCUUCUGACUCCCAACCCCAAACAUCUGACCCUGGGAGGAUUCUCCUCCUUUGAUUGUCCCAUUGAUUGGAGAUGAAUAAAGACUCACUUCAUCCAUCUGUCCUCCAAAUCAGGAGAACCACCCCAUGCCUUCAGGCAAACCUCCUCCCCAACCCCUUGCCCCAGAGUCAUGUCUUCACUGCUGUAAAAGAAUAUAAAAACUCCAGAAUGGAGGCAUUCUGGGAGCCACCCUCCAUGUUGUGCCACUGGUGCUGUCUUGCUGUCCUCCUGAGGAGCAGCUCUUCUAGCCAUGCUGUUCUACCUAGGAGGCAGGCUUCCACCUAUGCUGCCUCCUGGUCAGAUUCAACAUGACUUUCCAAAUAAAUAAAUUUCUCUUUAUUUUUAAGCCAA